UGUUCUGUCAAAACAAGAAGGGGAAAGAAAGACAUAAAUCACUGAAGAAGACAGGAUGAGUCGUCUGCUCCUUCCAGGAUGAACACUCGAGGAGUAGAGCAUUGGCCUGCAUACUCAUUAAUCCCUCGGUAACUGAGGGACACCAAGCACAUUCUGGAACCUCCCUAAAUACACAGUCUGUGGUGACUAGAGAAGGAACAGAGCCAUGAAAAUUCCACAUGACAGGGUUCUAGUAUUUCUUCUUAUGCAGGAGACCGGAAAAGUACCAGGUUACAGCUGUGCUCAUAGAAAAAUAUUUUCUCUCACUCAACAAAAUAAAGUUGCAUCUAAAAUCACUUUGGAAGAAGAAGCCAGAGAUGAAGUCUGCAAAUAAAACGUGAACAAAGAAACAGUAUUGGGUCUUCAUCAUGAGACUGCUUUAGCAUUUCGUCUUCAUUCUGGAAUAAAAACUGCCAACCUCUUUAACAAAGAGGGUUCUGAUACCCCACAGUGUCAACUGUCUUAAGAAAAAUGAAUAAUGACCUCCCUGUGGUGAAGGCAGGAACCAGGACUCAUAUGACUAUUUUGGAUUUUCGUAAACUACAAAAGCAACCACAGAACCAAAAUAUCCAAUAUGUAUACAGGACUUCACAAUUUAUAUUCUCUUCUCCAUUAAAAGAUUCAAUUUAUCCUCAGGGUUUCUUUUUUUAAACGAGAAUCAAUACUUUUUUAGAUAAUUCAGUUCUUAACUAUGUAUUUGAAGGAGAGGUACACAACUGAAAUGCAGACAUCACCAGAAGAUGAAAUAUUUAUUGUACAUCAAGCAAAAGGCAGAUGUGAGUGAAAGAACUGCAGUACAUGACUCUGGUCUUGACGGUACACAUAAUGGGAAGCCAUGCACGUACCAUUAAAUGUGUGUGUGUGCUUCUUUUUCUGUUCAUAACUAAGCUGCAUGUGUCAGGAUAGCCUGGUGGGCUGCUUGGCUUUCAUAUUACCUGGUGUAUCUAAAGCUUUGUCAAGACGCUCCCGGUCUCCAUGCCUGGUGGACUGGCAACCCAGUCCUGCCUACCACACAUUUCAGUAGAGCUGUAGAGAACCAGGUCACCCAGGGAUUGAAAGGUAACAGAGAAGACUGGGAGCUGUCCCAAGUGCUCAAUUCUGUUCCCUACAGGAGAGUAGCCAGGCGAAAGUGAAAAUUCUACACAGUCAUAGGGUUUACAGCCAGUCUUGCCUGGGGAGAGCCACUCUUGGAAGGAUUCCAGUUCUAAAAUGGCUGACUCUGCUUCCCUGAAUGUUACAAAAGAUGCUUACCUGGGAUUCUUGUUGUUCAGACUUAGUGCAAUCUCAUUGACGGCGUGUGGAUGAGACAUGACCAUGUUGAAACCAUACUGAAAUGCAGAGGGGAAAAGCAAAGCAUUAUAUCCAAAGUUUCAAUGUUAACUAAACCACAAACACUUGGGCUGGCGGGCUAGCUCGGUGUAAGUCGGCCUCCCAUGACUAAACUCCAGAUCCAAUCUCUAGCACUGCCAAACCCCACGACAUUUGCUACUUCAGAUGACUCGUGUCCUCAACAAAGGCAGUGGAGUUCCUAGCAUGUGAGCAUCAGAACAUGCAUCCUUCCCAAAAUUUUGGAAACACUGCCAUCCCUUCAAAGGUACUUGGAGCAAGAGCAUCCUUGAACUAUAUGAAUGAACUUUGUGUUUUUCUUUAUUAAACUAGUGAAAAGACUACUCUAGUGACUCAAAAGUUGUGCAUGCACUGAAUCAUUUUGAAAAUGAAACAAAAUCAAGCCCCGACUGAAUUCCCGAGAUCCACCCAGGUCAUUUUACUCUGCAUUUCUACCACCAAGCUCUGAAAUCUGAUUUUUUUCAAGCAUCCAGGAUGACUCCAUGAGACAGCUAGGGUUGACCUUUCCCAGCUUCUGCUCCUCCUCCCACCUCUUCCACCACCCCUGGCAAUGGCCAUUUUGGUGCACACCUUCCCAUAACUCCAUACAAACAAGCUACCCCACAACAAGAAUCUGGAGCAAUGACUGUGUUUUCUAAACACACGCACAGUUUAGCUCCUCUUCCUCUCAUAGUGAGACAAUCCUAAGCCACCCACUGACAAGUGAAAAAUAAAAAGAAGAAAAAAAACUUUUGAGGCUGAGGCAGAAAAAUGAGGUUAGGGGUCAGGAUGGACUCAUAGCAAGGCACUAUCUCCCCAAAACAAAACUUUCUAAAGCUUCAGUCAAUCAUUGACCGGGGUAUCUCCUCUCAGAGAUAAACACUUCUGUGCUCCAACCUGAGGCCAGCCCAUCCACUUGAAUCCUUGAGGUCACUCCCUCUCAUCGACUCCACAUUAUAGGAGGCAGCACAGUGACGUGCAGCUGUAAUCCUAAAACUUUGCAGGUGCAAGCAGGAGGAGCAAUUCAAAGAGUUCACAGCCAGCCCGGUCUAUCUUGAGAUCCUUCCUCAAAAAUACAAAGAAUGUGAAAUGUUCUGAAUGCUCCACAGGCCUAUUUGUCUCUCUCCACUGAUUCAUUACCAUUAGCCUAAGUUUACUGUACAACAAUACCCUAGCUUGACAGCACGGCCAGUGUGCAGCCACACUGUCCCAUUUGGGUGCUAUCCUUUACAACAGCAAAGACCCCUCAAACAUGCAAGGUCUAGAGAUUUCUUUCCUUCCUCUCACUGUGUGUUCUGGAGGCCACUCCUAUUCAGUCUUUCACCUCCCACCCCUGAAGCUGUUCUUGGCUGGAUCUCCACGUGCACUUAGCUAAACCCUGGGGCUAAGCCUCAUUCAUCUUGCAUGACUUAGCAGAAGCAUCAGACACAGCUCGCAGCACUUCCUCUGGAUGGAUGGCUUUUGCCCUCUUGGCUGUUUCUCACUCUUUUCUUCUUCUCGGCUUUUCUCUCUCUGACAUUUAGGUGGAGUGCCUUAAGGGCCCAUAUUAAGAACCUCCUCUCUCCCUACUAGCCCAGUGUCAUAGUUUCUGAUACCAUUUUUAUACUAGGCUUUCAAAUAUCUAUUUUCAACCCACACAUCCCACUCAGUAUUCAGCCUGGCUUAUCCCACUUCAGCUCACUCUCUGGAGGCCAAAUAGACAUCUCAAUUAAAGUCUGCCAAACAGACUUCCUGCUGAUCUCUAGCAGACCUGCUGAUCCUGUAGUAGCUGGCAACUUCAUGUUAGAGACCCAGGAUGGACUCCUGGUACCAGCUCUACUACUCACCUUCUCCCUCAACACACACCCAAAUGCUGUGACCCUUACUGUCCAUCCAAGGAGAGCCAGAACUUGACCACUUUUCUUAUCUUUCCUCCUAUAACUCUGAACAUACCACCAGCAAAACUCAUCCAAGUUAAUGCCAGGCACUUCUGAAACAGGCCACCUCCCUUUGCCUCCACACCCAAAGGCCAACGCUGUACAGAAGCCAUAAGGAUCCAUCCCAUAAAACCAGAUAUCACACUACACCCUCAGAACACCUUGUUUUCUAUUUGUGGCAAAGCCGUGUCUGUCACCAGUCCAUAAGAUUCUACAUAGUCCCCGUUGUUAUUUCUGCUUUUAUCUUUACUUCUCCUAACUCCUUUUGCCCCAGCCAUCCUGACUUCCCUUCCUGCUCCAGAACCCUAGAAUCAUCUUUCUUUAAUAGCCCUUCCUCUGUCUGCAGGUCACUUACUUCCUAAGUCUCAUAAUUACUACAUCCUCAGUGACACCGUCCUAGCAGCCAAUCUGGAGAAUCUACAUACAUACAUACACACACACACACACACACACACACACACACACACACAAAUACAUACAUACAUAUAUAUGGCAUGUCUACCCCUUUUCUGAUUCCUUUAUCAGUAGUAUUUAGUAGCAAUAAUUCAAAGUCUUCCUGGAUUAGAACCUUGUACAACUCACUAGCCAUAUGGAGGGUAUUGCUUAACUCUCAGUUUUCUCAGAAACAAAAUAUGUGUGUGUGGAGGUGGGGUGGUGGGGGUGGUAACACUGUCAACCUCACAGGGAUAUAUAGUUACAAGAGUUUACAGGCAUAAAACCCUGAGAAGUGAACAGAGCAGGUGACCAGCUUUAGUUUUAUUCAUCACCAUUACGGUCUGGGAUACUCCGUAUACACGCUAUCAGUGCAAUCUUGCCAUGAUUACGGCCCCUGGAAAGUAAGCUCUUGACAUGGUUUUAGGGACUGCAGCAUUCUCAGUACUUAGAAGACUGUCUCUGUCUGGCGAAGCACCGAAAAACUCUAACUGGUGGGGGGAAGACCAAAGCAUGCUUGAUCCACACUCCAAUAUUGGGUUUGAAUGCUAACAUGGACCCUCAUGCAUCUGGUCCCUGACCUGGGAAUCUCAGUUUUAAGCUGAAUCUUUUUUUUUUUUUUUUUUUUUUUUUUUUUUGGCUAAUCUAUUCUUACAGUCCUAUUCAUUUACCCUAGAUCCUGAACACACUCAGUUUCCACGCUGCUAUGACAUGUAAGGAAUGCACAUGCAACACUAAUUUCCAGCCAUAGCAUGACCAGCCAAAGCAAGGAUGUGCCCUGUUAACAGUGUCUCACAUGCUCCUUGUGGACACUAGGAAACACCAAUGCUAACACAUAAUGAUAACUUCUCGAUUAACCACCACAUCAGCCAGUGUACCCGGGGCUCAUUACUGCUCUUCUAAAGUGCUCCAUCAUUACUCACGACUAGAGGCUUACUUCCCAUGGUACUCAGACCUUUACCAACUAACAGGACAACUUGCCAUUUUGUGAUGAAUUAUAAAUACUGAGAUAUACAAACAUGGAAGUUAAUAUUGGACAUUAGAAUGAAUUGGACUCUUCUAAGUAGAAUCUCAUUAAAUUAAGAUCUUAACUUCAAAGAGAUAUAUGAAUAUCAACAUACAUGGAGGGAGGGAGGAAGGGAGGGAGGGAGAGAGAGAGAGAGAGAGAGAUGGUCAAUCUGGGUCUUAUUCUAUCAGAAUCUUGUACAGGACUGAAGCAAACAUACUUGAUAAUUGAACACAUACCUGGUAAUUCAUGAUGGCCCGUAAACACAUGAUACAAACAUGAACAUCAUCUUUCUUACUCACUAAUCUUGAAUUUUUCAAGGUUCUUCUGCUUGGCAAGGUAUUAUAUCUAAAAAGAAAAGGGGGGGGUAACUUAUAAAAUGACAGACUAUAGUCAGUACAAAGCACAACCACUUAAAGAGAUUCACAUUGCUCUCUACUUUGACAAGCACCUAGGUAAGAACUGCAGGCCCAAAAUACCAACACCGACCACUGCAGAGGGCAAAGCCCCCAUGGUUCUGUGAGCCUGUCAUUGUCUUUCCAGGCUAUCUUCCUGAAAAGUCUUCCCACUUCCUACUAUCAACCCAUCACAGAAGAGAGAGCAUAUGAGACCGCUGAGACCUUGGGACAAUCACAGUCAGGGGGCUGAUCUGGGUUUGCAGAAGCACAUGAAUGCAGAUUAUACCUGCUAAUUCUAACAACAGAUGCGGGACUGAAAUUUAGCUCAGUCCUUGCUCUCCAUCUACCUGACCAGAUUUUAACCAUUUCCUCCAGUUGCUGCUCUCACACGUCUCUGCUUUAAGAGUUUAAACCUACUGGAAGUCACACAUUACUGCUUCCGGCUUCACCUUGAGAUAUUAGACCCUGGAGCAUUAGUUCUCUAUAAAUGCCUCCAAACAGGACACAUGCCUGUCUGAUAUGGCAGCUAAAACAAAGGAAAAUGUGCUAAAACAUCAGAGUUCAAAUGCUUUAGUGUUACAAUGAAUUUAAUCAACUUUACAGUACUUAAGUUUAUUUUACCUUGCAAAUAUUACAGAGCAGAUAAUGUGAUAUAAUGCAUACAAAGCAGGUAACGCACAAUGUAACACACUGCACAAAAAAACAGGUGACACUAACAGCUUCAACUGAAGCUUUGCCUCAGAGCAGAAACACAGGAAUGUCAAGCCCAUAUGUAACACAUUCAAAUUUGUAACCGGAUGGGGUUGGGAGGAGUCUGAAUGUGGAAGAGGGAAUGCUGGGAGUGGAAAGGAGUAAGAGCAGGUUGAAGUCAAACCAAGUUUCAAGGAUAGUUCCACACAUGUGAAGCAAGCAAGCAUAGGGAAUAACUUAGCAGCCCAGGACCCUCUGUGGUUGGGCCGUGUAUACACGCCCUCUCUGAAUGAUAUACUUAGCAACCUAGGGCCCUAACCUCUAUCCAGCUACACCUGAACCUUCUUUUUUAAAUGAUGGAAAUAAGUCACUGACCUCUCUGACCUCUUGAUAAUGUCCCACUUUGGCACAGAACUCACAUGUCACUUUACCAUAACUCCAGCCAGCACAUGACUAAGGACACACUUCCUGGGGGUUUCCAAGGCUGGGUGGAUUCAGAGAACUGCCAUCCAGCCAGCUCAUGUAAGCACAUGAGUUAUAGAGCAAGUGUAUCAUCACUGCUUUAUACCAAGGAAUACCACAUAGAACUGCUAUUAGGCGGGAGCAAGGAGGAGCUGCAAAUAUGUUUUUCGGAAUCAACUUUUAAAAUACAUUUAUUAUGUAUGUCACGUGCAUCUCAAUAAAAAAGGUUAUGGGAAUAUAGUUCAGGGGUAGAGUAUUUGCUUAGCAUGAAUGAGGUCCUGGGAUCAAUCUCUAGAACUUAUUUUUAAAAUGUACAUUAUAUAAGAUCUCCUUUGGAAAAAUCAAUGAAACAUAUUUAUUUAUCAAUGAGUCCCUAUGCUCAAAAGCAACAAAUCUAUUUUUUUUCCCAAAAUGUACACUACCUGGCUUAAACAUUCCUUUCCCUGAUUUUUAUACAAAGCUGCAGAAGGAAUGAGAGGUAACAGUAGAAAAUGUGUUUAAAAAUCAUAACAUUACAAAGCUGUAAAAAAACCCAAUAGGACGACCAAUGAUAACCAGCCAUAGUGAUAAUGACUAAGGGCGACUUGUAUCAUUAACUCCAAAAUGUUCUCCACACAGGGAAGAAAACUGAAGCUCAGAGAAGUUAUAUCACAUGGCAAGUAUGAGACAGAAGACCGGACCCCAGGCCCUUUCUCAGACUGAGGGCCACUGUGCUCUACCAGUUGCUUUUCAACAGCACAGGACAGCACAGCACUGUUACCUUGUAAAGACUGCAGCUCCAGUUCCUCCUGUCCAGUCCCUUCAUGUCAGUUAGGACAGGCUGAUGCUAUUCCUGUCAAUCACGUUUAGGUCUCACUGCCUGCCCUCAAUACUAAUGGACGCUUGAUUAGGGUAUAAUUUACCUCCAGCGUUGCCUCAGGGCGUUUUUUGAAAAAAAAAAUUAUAUCACUGACUGCCUAAAUAAGCAAGGAUUUCUCUGUUUAAAUCUUAGUCUCAUGCAUUAUUUUCUAGGAAAUGGAGUUGGUGUGUGUUUGCUUGUUUGCUUUUACGUGAUGGGAUAUUGUACUUGCUAUUGUAGAUGUCGCAUUCUAAACAAAUUUCUUCAAGUUAAAUAAAUGAAACUUGUAAACUAUCAUAGUAUUUUCAAAAUCUGUGAGGUAAGAUUUUAGAGAACGUCAAAGGUUAAUAUAAUACAGUCAUAAGUACAUUUUUCUGUGUGCACAUCUCACAGAACUUCAUAACUUCAUAAUUAGAUUUUUAUUUCAUUUGAUUUAAUUCCUGUCUCAAGGAAUUACUGUCAGUUGUGCUAGGUUUUAAAUCAAUCCCUGUUUAUGAGUAAGCAAAUAUUAUUUAAUAAAUAGUUCUCUAGGGAGUUGGUUCUAUAAUACCGCCAGAAUGACCCUCAAAUCCCAAUAAUAUUGGGACUAAAACUCUAUUGGUCAUUUAUUUUUCUACAUAGACCCAAGGACAGGGUGAACAAUCUAAAAAGAAACCUAAGUAAAUUUCUUGCUUCUGUUUCUGUUUUUCUGAUGUUUUUGGUUUGUUCCAUUUUUACUGAGACUUAGUCUCACUCUAUAGCCCAGGCUGGCCUGAACCUCACUAUGUAGCCCAUACUUCCCUCAAACAAAUGGUAUUCUCAUCUUCUUACUUUAACUUCUCAAAUACCGGACUUAUAAAACUGGCCAAGUCUCUCAUUUGAGGCAUGUAAACAUUUUUAAGUCCUCCUGUUUAUGCUAAUCUCUGCUAAAUACCAAUAGAAAGCAAAAGAUAAAGAUUUUCUUUCUGUGGAGUUUAGGAAACAAUAGAUAAAUAAAUAUACAAGUUGGGCACUGUGCAACAGGCAUUUGGAGACCACCAUCUGCCUGCCUGCCUGCCUGCCUGCCUGCCUGCCUGCCUGUCUGUCUGUCUGUGUUAUAGCCAGGAUGUGGGAAAGAAUAAGUUCCUGAGACAUACGAACUGGAGAGAAAUUACUGGAACAGUAAAGGGAGGAACAAAGUAUGUGACACAAUGAACAGCACAGGGAGGAACAAAGUAUGUGACACAAUGUAUUACGGACCCCAAGGUUGGUAUCUACUGCCACGCUGACAGUCUUUGGGUCACAAGAUGACCAUAUGCAAAACAAGAGUAGCCCAGAAGCAGAACAGUCUGGUUGCUUUCUUUAGAAUUCCUGCCAUUAACAGGAAAACACGAGGGCUAAAGAUAAUUCUCUAGAGAAAACAACAUCCAUUUCUCAUACAUCACUUCUAAGGACUGCUUUGCUAUCUCCUCAAGCACUGAACUAAAACUGUAGAUGCUACACUGGCAUUCAAGACAAGAUUCCAUUCUGGGUGAGAUGCCCAAUGAGAAUUCAGAGACAAACCUAUACAAAUACAGUAAAUUAUUGGAAAACUGACUUGAUAUCAAAACUAAACAGAAGGUGGACGUGGGACUUGGACACAUAAUCAGAGAAGAAGGAAGAUAGAGGCAGAAGGAUGGAUAAUUCAGUGUCACUCUGGGCUAGAUGAAAUCCUGCCUCUUAACAAAACAACACAUACGUCACAAAAUGGGCAGGUUAUAUAGCUCGAGGGGCUGAGGGGAAUGCUUGCUACACAAGCCUGGCAACUUGAGCUUGACUCCCCAGAACUCAAGUAGUAAUAAAAGGAACAACUAUAACAAAGUUGUCCUCUGGCCUCCAUACACACGUCAUAUGCACACAUUAAUAACUUUUAAAAUGUAUUCCUGACACUUGCAUCAGUUUCAUGCGUAUCACACCAAGCAUCAGUAGUUACAUGUGUGCAAGAAGUUCCACAGCAAUGCUAACAUGAGCAGGGGACAUAAAAACUAACUGGUAUUUGCAAAUAUGUUCUGCAAGACCAUAUAUUUACAGAAUGUAUCUUAUUUACUUCUGCAGUGAUACCUUCCACCUGCACCACCUACUUCACUCAUAAAAAUGAAGCUGCAAAGAGGCACACAGCAAGUACCGCAAACUGCACAGCUGGUUUUCAAAGUUAGAAACAAACACAUUCUUCAGAUAAGAGUCCAUAAUAAAUUUAAGAACAAGUAACAUGUCUAUGACGACCCUGAGUACAAGAUAAAGCCUCCAUUCUAGAGCCAAAGCUAUAUGACAGACAAUGCAUUUGUUCAGAGACCUGUAUUUACAAAACCCAAACAGUUAGUAAACAGGAAGAAUCUAGCUACUGUUAACCCAGUAAUCUCUAUGACUAUUUUUUAGAUUUAUUUAUUUAUUUAUUUAUUUAUUUAUUUAUUUAUUUAUUUAAUGUAUAUGAGUACACUGUCACUGUCUUCAGAAACACCAGAAGAAGGCAUCAGAUCCCAUUGCAGAUGAUUGUGAGCCACCUUGUGGUUGCUGGGAAUUAAAUUCAGAAUCUCUGGAAGAGCAGUCAGUGCUCUUAACUGCUGAACCAUCUCUCUAGCCCUUCAGCUAAGUCUUAACCCAUCUAUUGUUAAGUUAUUACAACAGCACACAUUAAUUCAUAUACACAUGAAGUUAUUCCAGAGGAUUGCUCAGUGGGUACAGGGCUCUAGGUUUGGUCUCUGGCAUACAUACAUAAAAAUUAGUUGAUAUGUUGGGUAAAAAUUAUAUCUUUACUCUAUGCUUCUAUUAUCUAAUAAUUGAGUACAAAAUAGAACCUUGAAAGACUCCUUAACCAUGCUGUUCCAACAUCUGGAGAAAGAUUUCAAAAAAAAAAAAAAAAAAAAAAAGAAAAGAAAAGCUCUAUGCAGGUUCAUUGCCAACAAUUUUGGCACUCUUACAUUCAGGCACUAUUAGCCAAAAGAAGGGGAAAGGGCAUAUAAUUUUUCUAUUGCAAAGGAGCAUUCAGACUUAGAUAUCAAACAAGUACCUAUAAAUACAGGAACUAGGACUGCCAUGGAAGCUGAAGGGAAGGUUCAACCCCACUGGAAUGCAAUCCUCCACUAGGAUGUCACAUCAUUUGGCAGGACUAGGCUAACAACCAUUCCAAAGUUUGUGCUAACAGCACUUUAACCAAAAACUGGGGAGGGGGAUUGGUUUCCUCUUUUACCCUUUAGACAUGACAUCACUUGGGCAUUUUUUUCUAAAUCAAUUAAACAUAAUAUACAUGAUGCUUAAAAACUGAGCCAAAUACUUUGCUAACUAGCCCCAUAGCCAAAAGAAACAAAGCUGAGAUAGUUAUAGGAAGACAGUUCAAAGUAUAGGAAAGGGAGAUGGGAGAAGAGAGGAGGAGUCGAAGACACUGAGGGAGAAGAGGGAGGGAGAAAUGGAAUGCUGAUUCUUUUUAAUAAGGGCUGUAGUGAUCAGUGUGUUUUAUAUUUCCACUCGGAGACCCAAACAACAGCUGGAACUGCUUUUCAAUGUGAGUAAAAGUGAGGUGUCAGCUCAGGAUAUACAGAACAAGUCUCUGAUCACCUACAAUUUCUGACUUCCUGUCGUUUUUCCUUUGAAGGCAUGGACAGCAGGCUAAGCAGCAAACAGCCCCGUGAAGAGUGUCCAAGAAAACCAGCUUACUUUUGUCAUACUUUGACACUAAAGUCAAAGUAUAUCCAUUUAUCCUAAAUUUUUUAUAAGCUUUCAAUAAAUCAUUACUGGCAAGCACAGCCUAGCCUCAAAGUACAACAUGAAGUCUAGAAUACUCUUUUCAGACUUACUGACUUAUUUUUCCCUAAAUGGACCACUCAGCACAGCAGUGACAAGGUGGGUACUUUCUCAAUUCAUUUACAGUGUUAUCACUUUCUAAAUCAGGUGACAAAAUUUAUAAUCACCUUCUGCCACCUCAUUUGCUGACAGAUAACAUUCAUGGUUUGAGAAGAAUAUUUUUUCUUGUUAAAUGAUAUUCUAGGCCAACAAUAAGUCAAGUUGUGUUAGAGGGACAAUUUUAAACAAAUGAUAACAAGAACAGAGUAAAGUUCAGUUGACAACCUAAAACCAUAAAAUCAGAAUGAUGAUCUAUAAUUUGGGUGGGAACAAAGGGGGAGUGCAUAUGAGGAGAAUGAGAACCUCAGAGGAGAUUCUCUCCUUCUCUAAGAUGAAAACAGAGCAACUGGCAACUGAGUUCAAACUUUUUGGUUUUUUGUUUUGUUUUGUUCGUUUGGGAUGUGUGUGUGUGUGUGUGUGUGUGUGUGUGUGUGUGUGUGUGUGUGUGUGUGUGUGUGUGCGCAUGUGAGAAAGAAAUAGAGACAGAGAGAAACUGACGCUAAUAGUUGAAGCUGAAACUGUGGCAAUUUCCCCAAAACAAAUUCUAGUUGAAAGUAAAAUGUUACUUGUUGAAACCUGAAAGAGAACCUUAAGGAGCAUAACUCACAAAUAACCUUGUUUUACAAGCAAAAUGGUCGGGAGUUGUUGCUACCAUGCACUUAUUUCCAAGUAGUAUGAAAUACCUGAGUUAUGCUGAAGAUCUCUCCUGGGUCAUGUGGCUCUAGUGUGAUACACUGUCUGAGAAGGAUUACAAACCCUCCGUGGGCAUUGAUAGGCAAACAGGACAUUUAGUGGGAGGAAAAAAAAUACAUUUCAUAUGAAGGAAGAGACAGGAGAGCACAGUGGGAACCCUUUCUCCUCCAUUGGUCUCAGGCAGAGAAGUUUAGCCCUUAGAGAUAAGAAUGGUGCCAUUGCCAAUGGUCCCUGUAGACAGUUAACCACAGGAAGCUCUCAGCACAGUGCCCAGUACAUUGGCUCACUUAUUGAAAGCUUUUUUGCCUGCAUAAAAGUCAUCGUACAUAUGUCUAUGUUUUAUAUUCCCUCCUUAAACAACAUGAGGAAUGAGAUGCCCAGGUCAGAAGUGUAAACCAUAAGCCUAAACUCAGCUCUUUACUUAACCCAUGGAAACAGGUAUAAUCUGUCGGAUGACAAUCUUUUUGUGAAAUACUAUUCCACAGAAACAGCAGCUAGAGGGGAAAAAGUGACAUCUCAUUCAGGCAGAAUAUUCAUUUCAGAAGAGCUGCUAGUUAGUAGUUAAUAUUCUAAAGCAAUGGGGCCACAUUCAUCCAAGUGAGAAGGUCAGCUGAGCUGGUCUCCAUAACAUUUCCACCUUUGAAAUCUCUGACCUCUCUCUACACUAGAACUAUCUCUGCCACACCACACAGCUCGUCUGUGAAAGGACAGUGUACUCCCCCUUUCCCAAACAUGCCUGAUCCUUAAUGCACCAUGCCCCAUGCCUUUUCACCUUACCUCACUGUACAGUGGCCUUUUCUUUACCCUGAAAUCCAACUCCAUCCAUCACCAAAAGACCCAGUUUAAACUUCCAGGUCCACAUUAGCUCUCCACUCAUUCCUUAAAAACUCAAAAUAUUUGUUCUGUCUCUACCAUGUCUUAUUUGAGUCUAACAGCAUUAAUCUUGACUGCCUUAAAAUUACUUUUUCUUGGACCUCAAAUUCCACAGCCUUGGUCUUCAACACAUGAGGUACACACAUGUGCAGAGACGAUCAGUUAAUGAAGCUGGAUCUGUAGCCACAUUGGUGGAAUCCGUCUCAACCAGAACUGGAGACAGGACAUUUUCUGGCAAAAGCACAAGCCAGGUUUCUGCUUCAUUGACAUCAACACUUCUGUGGCCAAGCUUCAGAUAUACAAUGGCUCAGAACCCAGCCACAGGAACAAUUCAGGUGUGUGCUGUGCCAUACGGUGUUUCACAAUCAAUAUGAAAUAGUUUGAAAAUAUCAAGUUAAAUCCAAGAAAAAAAAUUGUACUAGCAUCAGGAUUUUGUUCAAAGAGUUUGUAUUUAAUAAUGGAGUAUUUUUAUUUUUAUCUAAUCAAGAUUUAUGAGUUGUUAAAAUUUGCUGAAAUCUCAUUUCUUCCAAAUUUGACAAGGGAUACUGGUAAGAGGUACUACCUAGAGAUGGGACAGAGAAAACUGUUUUAUAUCAAAAUGUGUUUGGUACAAAGAUUUAUUCAUUAAGCAAAACUACCAGAAUAAAACAUCUCCAAAAAAACACCAUAUUUUCAAAAGAAAUUUGAUAUUAUUAGAAAUGCAUUCACCUGCAAAGAGUCCAAUUCUUAGAAUGAGGAGCUAUAAUAUGAUAACACAAUGAAUGGAUCUGUGUACAAGGGAGCAGGGUGACACAAAGGUUACCAUAUUGUAACAUGAAGAAUGGUCGUUAAGACCAGGCCACCAUGCACUGUCAGCUCCCUCGGGUGUUUUCUCCAGUGACUUACAAGAUGCUCCAGGUGGAAGCCUCAUCAUCAGUGUGUAAACUGAAGCUGCUCCAAAGGCAGCAGAAGGACAAGUAGCUCAGGUGGCACUGGAGCAGAAGAGAGCCGGGCAGGGAAGCCAGCCUGGUAGUGAUGUAAGAGGUGGAUAAAACCAGAAUGAGACAGUGGGACAAGAAAGGACAAAGCAGAGACGACAAUCAGAAAUGAGAUGGCAGAAUGAGAGAGAAAGCAAUAAGAUGAAAACCAGAACUUGAAGGAGUGUUGAGAGCAGAGGAAGAAAGGGGAGAGAAAGAG